rnacentral:rRNA from 1 species
AUGCACGCUGGCGGCGUGCCUCAUACAUGCAAGUCGCGCGCACAGACGAGGAGCUUGCUCCUCUGACGUUAGCGGCGGACGGGUGAGUAACACGUGGAUAACCUACCUAUAAGACUGGGAUAACUUCGGGAAGCCGGAGCUAAUACCGGAUAAUAUAUUGAACCGCAUGGUUCAAUAGUGAAAGACGGUUUUGCUGUCACUUAUAGAUGGAUCCGCGCCGCAUUAGCUAGUUGGUAAGGUAACGGCUUACCAAGGCAACGAUGCGUAGCCGACCUGAGAGGGUGAUCGGCCACACUGGAACUGAGACACGGUCCAGACUCCUACGGGAGGCAGCAGUAGGGAAUCUUCCGCAAUGGGCGAAAGCCUGACGGAGCAACGCCGCGUGAGUGAUGAAGGUCUUCGGAUCGUAAAACUCUGUUAUUAGGGAAGAACAAAUGUGUAAGUAACUAUGCACGUCUUGACGGUACCUAAUCAGAAAGCCACGGCUAACUACGUG